UACGUAGGUGGCAAGCGUUAUCCGGAAUUAUUGGGCGUAAAGAGCGCGCAGGUGGUUGAUUAAGUCUGAUGUGAAAGCCCACGGCUUAACUGCGGGGGUGCAUCUGAAACUGUUUCUCUUGAGUGUCGGAGAGGAAAGUGGAAUUCCCAGUGUAGCGGUGAAAUGCGUAGAGAUUGGGAGGAACACCAGUGGCGAAGGCGGCUUUCUGGACGAUAACUGACGCUGAGGCGCGAAAGCGUGGGUAGCAAACAGGAUUAGAUACCCU
rnacentral:rRNA from 1 species